GACGAACGCUGGCGGCGGGCUUAACACAUGCAAGUCGAACGGAAAGGCCCUGCAUUUGUGGGGUGCGCGAGUGGCGAACGGGUGAGUAAGACGUGAGUAACCUGCCGUUGACUGUGGGAUAACUUCAGGUAACUGGGGCUAAUACCGGAUCGGAGCUUCUGCUGAAUAGAGGGGGGGGGAUACUUUCGGCGGUUGGGGAUGGACGCGCGGCUGAUCAGCUUGUUGGUGGGGGAGUGGCUUACCAAGGCUUUGACGGGUAGCCGGCCUGAGAGGGGGACCGGCCACAUUGGGACUACGAGACGGACCAGACUCCUACGGGGGGCAGCAGGGGGGAAUAUUGCACAAUGGGCGGAAGCCUGAUGCAGCAACGCCGCGUGCGUGAUGACGGCCUUCGGGUUGUAAACCGCUUACGCCUGUGACGAAGCGUGAGUGACGUUAAUGGGUAAAGAAGCACCGGCUAACUACGUG
rnacentral:rRNA from 1 species